AUGUCCCUAAUACAGAGCUGGCUCUUCUGCCUUCUCAUCCCGACCUGUUUCUCCCAGAAUGUUGUGAUUUCUCAAGAGCCGAGAUCCAUUAUAACCAGAGCUGGUUCUGCCGCCCUAAUGAGAUGUGAGCAGAAGACAACAGACUAUAAUACCAUGUUCUGGUACCAACAGAGAGACGGGCACGGCCUACAGCUCAUCUCUACUCAGCUCCGGGGAGACAAACCCACAUAUGAAGAGGGCUACAAAGAUGGCUUCCAGGUGAACAGAACCACCAGUAAUAAGAUCAGUUUCCUGGAGAUCAAAUCCCCGAAGCCCCAAGAUCAGUCACUUUAUCUGUGUGCGGCCAGUGAUGCACAGUGACACCUCCCAACCCACUGCCUUUGUACUAACCCCCCCCCCACUGACACACUCAUAUCCC